CUGUGAUGAUGCCAUUUCUUAGUACACCUUUGGGUUCACCGUGAAAACAAUGAUUCUCUGAGCAGU